UGGAGAGAGAGUCAAAAGACCGUGAAACCGCUCAGAGUAUAAGCCCAUGGCAGCUUGGAAGGCAUAUCGCUAGCGGGGCAUCGGUCUUCCUUCACGGGGAGCUGGUGUUACCUUGCUUCUGUUGUGGCUCGUCAAGGUAGGGGGGUCAAGUCCACAUCCCGCCGACGUGUGGAGAGUUCUCGGGCGCGUUGUUGUCCUUCGGUCGACUUCGGUUGGUCGUUGGGCUCUUCGUGCUUGGUUCUCUUUGAACACGGACGUUCAGACUCAAAGGCAAGACGCGAUAACCAGCCCACCACGGCACGUUGUGAGGUCACCCACAGGCUCAACUUUCGAUUGUGAUCCUUGACGCCGAGCAAGCACUAUGCGUGUCGCUGAUGUUCCUAACCAGGCAUCGCUGCCAGGACCGUGGAACGACACGCGCUCAACAGUCAGGAUCGAGCGAUGACAGAGUUCUGGUACGAUCCUCUUGCGACGAGCCGGCUUCUGGCCAACUUCCGAUGCUCAGGUCUCCCGCAUGUGCCGCGGGAGAUCGCUUUGACGGUCUGGAGCUUUUACGAGUCCUCUCAGUCGGGCAACGGAAAGAGUGGUGUAAAGUCCAAGCCCAUCGGUCACGUCUCGAAACACGGGCCAAGGAGUAUAGCAUGUGUGCAAGUCUAAGAGUCUCACAAAACUCGAAGGCAAAGUGAAAGCAAGUAAGCGGCGGGUGAUCUACGUAGAGAUCCCGUCAGCUAGAGGGUCCUUCGGGGCUCUCCGGCUUUGGCAGAGUUGAUCCUGCAGCGGUACCGCAUACGUACGCUCAGGCGCAAACUCCAGGCUCACGUUUCGCACUGGUUCUCGGACUGUGCUGUGAGCACUGUGGAGCAUGCAUGCUAUGACCCGAAAGAUAGUGAACUAUGCCUGGCGAGGGCGAAGCCCCAGGAAACUGGGGUGGAGGCCCGUAGCCGUUGUGACGUGCAAAUCCAU
rnacentral:rRNA from 1 species